rnacentral:rRNA from 1 species
CAGUCGCCACGGGAAUACAGAGGAUGCAAGCGUUAUCCGGAAUGAUUGGGCGUAAGGCGUCUGUAGGUGGCUUUUCAAGUCCGCCGUCAAAUCCCAGGGCUCAACCCUGGACAGGCGGUGGAAACUACCAAGCUGGAGUGCGGUAGGGGCAGAGGGAAUUUCCGGUGGAGCGGUGAAAUGCGUUGGGAUCGGAAAGAACACCAACGGCGAAAGCACUCUGUUGGGCCAACACUGACACUGAGAGACGAAAGCUAGGGGAGCAAAUGGGAUUAGAUACCCCCGUAGUACCUGUCUCUUAUAC